rnacentral:rRNA from 1 species
GCUGGUGAGUAUUGCGUUUUGGCUCCACUCCGAACCCAUCCCGAACUCGGUUGUGAAACAUUUCUGCGGCGACGAUACUUGGGGGGUUGCCCCCUGGCACAAUAGCUCCUUGCCAGCU